rnacentral:lncRNA from 1 species
CAGACAUAGCAUCUUAUUUUGUUUAUUGCUUGAUAUUUGCCAACGUAUACCUAAUCCAUGCUUAAACUUUCCUUUGCUCUCACUGCAGAUUUGAUCAGACUCAAAAUCUAAGUGUUUAAAGAAAAGGAGUGCAGUACAAGACUGGAAUCAAACAUAAGAAAUGCAGUAUGAUAUUAACACUGGAUUAAAAUCACAACCUGGAGGACUUACUUUGCUUGAAUUCAGUAGAGAUGUUUUGCCAAAAAAAAAAGAAAAAAGAAAAAGAAAAAAAGCAAAAACAAAAACAACCAAAAAAACAUAAGGUGUCUGCUCUGAACGUAAUCCUCCUAUUUUGUUAUUUUAGUUCAUGAUGCCAAGGGACAGAUUCUAGCAAUAUAGCAGUAGAGGUUGAACCUUCCUGCCAAUAUUUCAUUAUAUUUUGUUGCUGCAAAACAGAUGACAGCAGAGACAUACUCUGACAAACAAAAGCUGUCUGAUACAUAAGAGUACAAGAAGCAAAACAUUAAAGUCUUUAGUUCUGAGAUGAAUCCUAAGUUCAUAAAGUUUUGAGAGCAACUAUUUAAAUUCUUAUCUAAAUUUCCAGCAUUCAGACGGCAUUGAAAGCUUUCAGUCACAUGUAUCCUGUGAUCUUGCACAUCCUAUAGGAAAGUAGAUAAAUACAAGGAAGAUGGAGGUCUAAAAGAGGAACAUCAUUAUUUUCUCACUUUUUCUGUUGUUUCUUGGUGUACAUUCAGCACUACAUCAUUCUGUUUCUUCAUUUCUCAGGUUUUCCUCAAUACCUCUUUGUGCGUAUGCAUAUAUAAAGACGUAUUGGCUUCUGAGUUAACUGUCCUUUGAAAUAUUUAGAACUGUACAAAUACUAAGCAUUAUUUUUAUUUGCAGAGAACAUACUUUCCAUCACAGAUACAGGCCGCAAUAUUCUGGAUCAUGCUGAAACGAAAGUGCAUUUGUCAUAACAGCUCUGUGUGUACCAGUCAACACAAGCAUGUUCAACAGGUUCCUACGGAAGAACGGCUACUAAGACAAAGAGAUCACAUGUCCACUGGGAAUUUUGAGGGCAGGAGUUCCCAAUGAAUGUAAAACUCUAGAGAUAAUUCUG